UACGAAGGGAGCUAGCGUUGUUCGGAAUCACUGGGCGUAAAGCGCACGUAGGCGGAUGUGUCAGUCAGGGGUGAAAUCCCGGAGCUCAACUUCGGAACUGCCUUUGAUACAGCACAUCUGGAGUCCGGAAGAGGUGGGUGGAAUUCCUAGUGUAGAGGUCAAAUUCGUAGAUAUUAGGAAGAACACCGGUGGCGAAGGCGGCCCACUGGUCCGGUACUGACGCUGAGGUGCGAAAGCGUGGGGAGCAAACAGG
rnacentral:rRNA from 1 species